CGCGUAGGCGGUGUCUUAAGUGGGAUGUGCAAUCCCCGGGCUUAACCUGGGAACUGCAUCCCAGACUGGGACGCUGGAGUACUGGAGAGGGUGGUAGAAUUCCACGUGUAGCGGUGAAAUGCGUAGAGAUGUGGAGGAAUACCAGUGGCGAAGGCGGCCACCUGGACAGUAACUGACGCUGAGGCGCGAAAGUGUGGGUAGCAAACAGGAUUAGAUACCCUGGUAGUCCACGCUGUAAACGAUGAACACUUGGUGUGGUGGGAGUUGACCCCUGCCGUGCCGUAGCUAACGCGAUAAGUGUUCCGCCUGGGGAGUACGGUCGCAAGGCUGAA
rnacentral:rRNA from 1 species